rnacentral:rRNA from 1 species
AAAGGGCGCGUAGGCGGCUUUUUAAGUCGGGGGUGAAAGCCUGUGGCUCAACCACAGAAUUGCCUUCGAUACUGGAAAGCUUGAGUUCGGUAGAGGUUGGUGGAACUGCGAGUGUAGAGGUGAAAUUCGUAGAUAUUCGCAAGAACACCGGUGGCGAAGGCGGCCAACUGGACCGACACUGACGCUGAGGCGCGAAAGCGUGGGGAGCAAACAGGAUUAGAUACCCUAGU